rnacentral:rRNA from 1 species
CUACGGGGCGCUCCAGUGAGGAAUAUUGCACAAUGGAGGAAACUCUGAUGCAGCAACGCCGCGUGGAGGAUGACGCAUUUCGGUGCGUAAACUCCUUUUAUAUGUCAAGAAAAUGACGGUAGCAUAUGAAUAAGCACCGGCUAACUCCGUGCCAGCAGCCGCGGUAAUACGGAGGGUGCAAGCGUUACUCGGAAUCACUGGGCGUAAAGGACGCGUAGGCGGGAUAUCAAGUCAGGUGUGAAAUCCUACAGCUUAACUGUAGAACUGCACUUGAAACUGGUAACCUAGAGUAUGGGAGGGGGGGAUGGAAUUAGUGGUGUAGGGGUAAAAUCCGUAGAUAUCACUAGGAAUACCUAAAGCGAAGGCGAUCUCCUGGAACAUAACUGACGCUAAGGCGUGAAAGCGUGGGGAGCAAACAGGAUUAGAUACCCUAGUAGUC